GUGCCACUUAAUUUUGAUGCCAACUUUUCUCCAUGCCCAAGAGGUUUUUGCAUGAACUUUUGUCCAUGCUAAGAGGCCCUCCGCCCUCCCUUUCUCACCUCCAAAUAUGGGUAAGAUCUAGUUUUAAAUGGUAUGUUCAAAUUAGAUUUGAAUAAGAUACCAUAUAGGAUAAGGUUUGACCUUAUCCAUACCUUGCCGCCCACAUUCCUUUUAUCCCUUUCUUGUGUGCAACAAAAAGAGAUUUUUGUGGCAUGGAAAUAAGAUGGGAAAUUAGUUUUACGAUGGAAAAUAAAAGGA
rnacentral:lncRNA from 1 species